AUGUAGAAUUCGAAGAGAGCUUGGAGUCACAUAUUUGGCUAGAAAACGGCACAGAAUUACUGCUCUGCCGACCAGUCUCAAAUUCUCCAAUCAUCACUAGCUCAGCUCGAUGCCACCCAAGUUAUCGAUGUUCGUUUGGAAAUUCGAAAAGACCAGAUAAAGCUGAUAUUGGAAACUGAAACACCUCUGGAGUCUGGAACAAUUGAAGUAAGAAAUGUAUGGAUUACCUACAGACCAACCGACGAUGGAUGCUUGAUUGAGAAUAAUGACCAGCAAGAGUUCAUAGACCGCUUGGAAUUUUUCGAAGUUUCCGUUUUGCACUUGGAGCAUGCCCUUGGUACUAUGGAUGUGCUCAAAAAAUUCUCAGUGAUUUCGGUUAAUAAAUCUCAAGAUGAACCAACCCCCAGCGCUCAGGAUCUACUCACAAAUGCCAUAUUCUUAGAGAACCUGAACAGAAUGCUGACAUCCCGGCAGAAACCACUGAACGUCUUCACUUUUGAAGUAAACUUAUGGCAAGAACCAUUCAAUAAUCACGCUGCAAUUAUAAUGUCUCAUCUCAACUCCAACUUCCUUAAUUUAAUAAUUCUGAGCACCCCUAUCCCGGGGACUCAUUUGAAAUUUGACGCUAUUGUUACCUUGGAGCAGUGGCUCAAUGGAAAGGAGGUUAAAAUGAAGAACCUAUCGACUGACUUAAAAUUUGAUGCCUUUUUUCAUUUUGCCAAAGUGAGCACAGGAAUGGACCCAAAUACUUAUAGCGAGCUGACUUUGCUGAGAGACCAUUUUCUAAACCACGAAACACCAGAGUACUUUGAGCUAAACUACCCGGAAAGUUUCCUGAGUAGUUCGUAGAAGUACAAGAUAACACCAGGACCCCCCUAGCAGUACCGCACUUCGGAAUGACUCGUGGUCCUUCCACGUUAUCAAAAAUCAUAUAUAUAUCGUUAUCAAAAAACUCACUCUGUUGGAACAACGUUUUGAUCAGCAUUGUCAAACCACCUGCCUUCAGUCUAGCACAUAGGCCGCCGUUCAAACCAAGCACACCACAAGCCGCGAUCUUCCUAUGCUGGCAGAAAAUUGCAUAGUUUAAGCAGCUACUUGCCUGGUUUUAAUUUCCUGAUUAGUAUGGCAGAGACCACUUCUGACAUCUCACUGGUUUCUAGCCGAACUCAUUUGGAUUUGUUUUUUGAGCUAAUCAGAAGCCUGUUGCCUCAAAAAUUGUUCAGCCCAGCCGGCUCCUAUCGGCCGCGAUCUGGCGGCUAGGUUCUACCCUGUAGAUGUCGGGCGCAUCUGGACCCCUCUAAUCUUAUACAUAUUGCAGUCCCAUAAUCACCCGAUCAGUCAUCCUAUCAAAAACGGCUAUCAAAACUGAAAUAGAGAACGCGGAAGAUCAUGCCUUUGCCCUGAUGAUCCAUGAAAGCCAAAUCAUGAUUGAUAUGAUUUUAGCAGCGGUGCCAAAUUAUAUUCAAAGAGCUCUGACCACGCAAACAUUAGAUGAGACUAAAAAUAUAAGAAUAUCAUACAAGCCAAGAGGAGAUUGGUGUAUUAUUGAAAGCGAAAGAAUGCAAGAAGUUUCACAGUCACCCGUUUGCAAAGUCUCAGUAUUACACCUUGAAUACCUGUUGAGAUCUAUACCAGUUCUUUGGAGCUUCUCGAUUGCCUCUAUCACAAAUCUGGAGCUCGAUGGAUCCAAUGAGAUCCUACUUCAAAUCCACAAAACCUUGCAAGACACCGUUGAAGCAAUGCUCAGAGAAAGAAGCUCUAAACUUAAAGUUAAUACGUUUGUAGUCACACUGUCUGAAAAACCAAUCAAUGAGCAUCUGCCAAGAAUCAUGGCUUGUCUGGAGCCUCAAGUUCUUAAGGAAAUCAUUUUGACGGGCGAUAAAGGUAAACUUCAUUGUGAUGGCUUAGUGAAUUUGGAGCAGUGGAAGAAUGCAUCUUUAUUGUCCAUCAACAAUUUCUAUGUGAAAGCUGCAAUUUCGAAUUUCCUCCAUUUUGAAGACGUUCGAGUAACUUUUGCAAAAAUAACUUACGAUGAUUUGAUUAUGUUAAAGGAGGCAAAUUUGUCAGAAAUAAAAUUAGGAAACAAAAUAAUAAAGUCUUUCAGCACUUCCUCGUCAACGAAAAGCCUUCUACAUUCGAGCUCAACUUCAACCGAUAUGCGAAAACCUCUGAAAUUUCAAAUGACACCAACAACGUUGAGCCACACGAGGUGUUCGGGGAAACUGAGCAUGUUGAAUACAAGAACGGCGGAGAGCUUCACAGAAAGAUUUGGUAUUUCCCACAUGAGGUUCAUACUUCAUAUGAUCUUCGGAUCGAAUAUUGUAUUACAAAUGAUUAUACGUUUCAAUUUGGAUUUGUGGAAGCAGAGGUAAAACCACAAAUCGUAAACUCUGACUUCAACUUGCUAUCUCUCAUAUCGACUAAUUACCAGGCUAUGAAAAGUAUCAUAGAAAAGUGCUCCUUUGUCACAAUCUUGACGCUUCGAAAAGUUUGUAAAAACCUCCGUAAUUUCAUCGACACCACACAUUUCAACUUCCCCGAACGGAAUGUUUGGAUAACAUUUGAUGGAAAAGAUUCAAUGCUUGAAGUAAUAACCCCCGAGGGGAAAACAUCCCUUACCUAUAAAAAAGAUCCGAUCGGCUGCAAACUUCUUGCAUAUCCGCCGAUACCUUACGGUUCUGAUUUCAUUGCAACUCGGAUGAUGCCAGACGAUACACCGUUAAACUGUUGUAUGAAUGACUUGGAACAAAUUCUGAAGCACCAAAAAACUCCCAUAAGCAAACUCGCUUUUACCCUGCGUUCCAUAGAUGAUGAGUACAUUUAUAAGCUAAAGGAAACUCUGGUGCCUCAAAGAACUCGUCUACUAAAGGUCAAGUGUGUUGCCAUGCUGGGAGUUGAUCUACCGAUAAUAGCAAGGAUUCUGUCAUAUUUGGAUCAAAAUGACCUAAAAAUGAUUUUCUUGAACUAUGAUGCAUAUAGUAAGGUUGAAGAAGAGGAGCUUGACUCUACUAAAAUUGUGGAGUUGGGGCAAUGGAAAAGGGCAGAAGAGCUUUGGGCCCGUGACUGUGGACUUUCAUUUUCAGUUAAAAAUAUCGAGCACUUUCUGAGAGUUGAAGUAACGUUACGCACAAUUUCCGUUGAAGACUUGGUUCAUUUAAAGGAGAUCUUCAAAACCUCAUCCGCCAAUCGAAAAUUUGACAUUAAAGCCAGAUCAUUCGAUGCAGAAGAUUUGACCCCAACUCUAGGAGCACCGUCUCUUUCAAACAAGAUCGAACAAAAUGUUGUUCAUAAAAAGUGGUUCUUCAAAAUGGAAAUGGACAGACGGAGAGCAGUUUGCAUAGAUUAUCUGGAGUGUAUCGCUGGAGAAAGGGAGAUAACGGUAUUUGUGUUUUCCCAUGUCGAGAUUUCUGAUGUUCCAGCAAAUGUGCUACGUUGGGAACAAUAAAAAU
rnacentral:misc_RNA from 1 species